rnacentral:rRNA from 1 species
GACGAACGCUGGCGGCGUGCUUAACACAUGCAAGUCGAACGAUGAAGAAGAGAAACGCGAACUUCGGUUCAAAUUUCACUUCGGAUUAGUGGCAGACGGGUGAGUAACGCGUGAGCAACCUACCUCUUACAAAGGGAUAGCCUCGGGAAACCGUGAUUAAUACCAUAUGACACAUUCAUAAGGCAUCUUAAGAAUGUUAAAGCUACGGCGGUAAGAGAUGGGCUCGCGUCCCAUUAGCUAGUUGGUGAGGUAACGGCCCACCAAGGCGACGAUGGGUAACCGGCCUGAGAGGGUGAACGGUCACAUUGGAACUGAGACACGGUCCAAACUCCUACGGGAGGCAGCAGUGGGGAAUAUUGCACAAUGGAGGGAACUCUGAUGCGGCGACGCCGCGUGAGCGAUGAAGGAAUUCGUUUCGUAAAGCUCUGUUCUAUGGGAAGAAAAGGACUGUACCAUAGGAGAAAGCCCCGGCUAAAUACGUG